rnacentral:rRNA from 1 species
ACUAAGCGUACAUGGUGGAUGCCUUGGCAGUCAGAGGCGAUGAAGGACGUACUAACCUGCGAUAAGCUGUGAGAAGUCGGUAAGAGACGCUAUUACUCACAGAUUUCCGAAUGGGGAAACCCACCCGAGAUAACUCGGGUAUCUGUUACUGAAUACAUAGGUAACAGAGGCGAACCGGGAGAACUGAAACAUCUAAGUACCCCGAGGAAAAGAAAUCAACCGAGAUUCCCUCAGUAGCGGCGAGCGAACGGGGAUUAGCCCUUAAGCAUCUUGGAAGUUAGUGGAACGGUCCUGGAAAGGCCGGCGAUACAGGGUGAUAGCCCCGUACACGAAAACAACCUUGAUGUGAAAUCGAGUAGGGCGGGACACGUGACAUCCUGUCUGAAUAUGGGGGGACCAUCCUCCAAGGCUAAAUACUCCUGACUGACCGAUAGUGAACCAGUACCGUGAGGGAAAGGCGAAAAGAACCCCUGUGAGGGGAGUGAAAUAGAACCUGAAACCGUGUACGUACAAGCAGUGGGAGCCCUUCGGGGUGACUGCGUACCUUUUGUAUAAUGGGUCAGCGACUUACAUUUUGUAGCGAGGUUAACCGUAUAGGGGAGCCGUAGGGAAACCGAGUCUUAACUGGGCGUCUAGUUGCAAGGUGUAGACCCGAAACCGGGUGAUCUAGCCAUGGGCAGGUUGAAGGUUGAGUAACAUCAACUGGAGGACCGAACCCACUAACGUUGCAAAGUUAGGGGAUGACCUGUGGCUGGGGGUGAAAGGCCAAUCAAACUCGGAGAUAGCUGGUUCUCCCCGAAAGCUAUUUAGGUAGCGCCUCGGACGAAUACUACUGGGGGUAGAGCACUGUUUGGGCUAGGGGGUCAUCCCGACUUACCAACCCCAUGCAAACUCCGAAUACCAGUAAGUAAUAUCCGGGAGACACACGGCGGGUGCUAACGUCCGUCGUGAAGAGGGAAACAACCCAGACCGCCAGCUAAGGUCCCAAAGUCUAUAUUAAGUGGGAAACGAAGUGGGAAGGCUCAGACAGCUAGGAUGUUGGCUUAGAAGCAGCCAUCAUUUAAAGAAAGCGUAAUAGCUCACUAGUCGAGUCGGCCUGCGCGGAAGAUGUAACGGGGCUCAAACCAGGCACCGAAGCCGCGGAUUCACACUUAUGUGUGAGUGGUAGGGGAGCGUUCUGUAAGUCUGCGAAGGUGUAUCGAGAGGUAUGCUGGAGAUAUCAGAAGUGCGAAUGCUGACGUAAGUAACGAUAAAGGGGGUGAAAAGCCUCCUCGCCGGAAGACCAAGGGUUCCUGUCCAACGUUAAUCGGGGCAGGGUGAGUCGACCCCUAAGGCGAGGCCGAAAGGCGUAGUCGAUGGGAAGCAGGUUAAUAUUCCUGCACGACUUGUAAUUGCGAUGGGGGGACGGAGAAGGCUAGGUGGGCCAGGCGACGGUUGUCCUGGUGAAAGUGCGUAGGUGGUGUUUCUAGGCAAAUCCGGAGACACAACACUGAGACACGAGACGAACACACUACGGUGUGGAAGCCAUUGAUGCCCUGCUUCCAGGAAAAGCCUCUAAGCUUCAGAUUACAAGUCAUCGUACCCCAAACCGACACAGGUGGUCGGGUAGAGAAUACCAAGGCGCUUGAGAGAACUCGGGUGAAGGAACUAGGCAAAAUAGAACCGUAACUUCGGGAGAAGGUUCGCUCUUGACAGUGAAGUCCCUUGCGGAUGGAGCAGUUGGGAGUCGCAGUGACCAGAUGGCUGGGACUGUUUAUCAAAAACACAGCACUCUGCAAACACGAAAGUGGACGUAUAGGGUGUGACACCUGCCCGGUGCCGGAAGGUUAAUUGAUGGGGUUAGCGCAAGCGAAGCUCUUGAUCGAAGCCCCGGUAAACGGCGGCCGUAACUAUAACGGUCCUAAGGUAGCGAAAUUCCUUGUCGGGUAAGUUCCGACCUGCACGAAUGGUGUAACCAUGGCCAUGCUGUCUCCACCCGAGACUCAGUGAAAUCGAAUUCGCCGUGAAGAUGCGGUGUACCCGCGGCUAGACGGAAAGACCCCGUGAACCUUUACUACAGCUUGGCACUGAACAUUGAACCUACAUGUGUAGGAUAGGUGGGAGGCUUUGAAGGCGUGACGCCAGUUGCGCUGGAGCCGUCCUUGAAAUACCACCCUUGUAUGUUUGAUGUUCUAACGCAGGGCCCUGAAUCGGGCUCGCGGACAGUGCCUGGUGGGUAGUUUGACUGGGGCGGUCUCCUCCCAAAGAGUAACGGAGGAGCACGAAGGUUGGCUAAUCCUGGUCGGACAUCAGGAGGUUAGUGCAAUGGCAUAAGCCAGCUUGACUGCGAGCGUGACGGCGCGAGCAGGUGCGAAAGCAGGUCAUAGUGAUCCGGUGGUUCUGAAUGGAAGGGCCAUCGCUCAACGGAUAAAAGGUACUCCGGGGAUAACAGGCUGAUACCGCCCAAGAGUUCAUAUCGACGGCGGUGUUUGGCACCUCGAUGUCGGCUCAUCACAUCCUGGGGCUGAAGUCGGUCCCAAGGGUAUGGCUGUUCGCCAUUUAAAGUGGUACGCGAGCUGGGUUCAGAACGUCGUGAGACAGUUCGGUCCCUAUCUGCCGUGGGCGUUGGAUGAUUGAAGGGAGUUGCUCCUAGUACGAGAGGACCGGAGUGAACGAACCUCUGGUGUUCGGGUUGUCACGCCAGUGGCACUGCCCGGUAGCUAAGUUCGGAAUCGAUAACCGCUGAAAGCAUCUAAGCGGGAAGCGAGCCCUGAGAUGAGUCAUCCCUGACCCCUUGAGGGUCCUAAAGGGCCGUUGGAGACCACAACGUUGAUAGGUGGGGUGUGUAAGCGCGGCGACGUGUUGAGCUAACCCAUACUAAUUACCCGUGAGGCUUAACC